GUUUGAUCCUGGCUCAGGAUGAACGCUAGCGGCAGGCUUAACACAUGCAAGUCGAGGGGUAUAUUUCUUCGGAGAUAGAGACCGGCGCACGGGUGCGUAACGCGUAUGCAAUCUACCUUUUACAGAGGGAUAGCCCAGAGAAAUUUGGAUUAAUACCUCAUAGCAUUGCAGAAUGGCAUCAUUCAGCAAUUAAAGUCACAACGGUAAAAGAUGAGCAUGCGUCCCAUUAGCUAGUUGGUAAGGUAACGGCUUACCAAGGCUACGAUGGGUAGGGGUCCUGAGAGGGAGAUCCCCCACACUGGUACUGAGACACGGACCAGACUCCUACGGGAGGCAGCAGUGAGGAAUAUUGGACAAUGGGCGCAAGCCUGAUCCAGCCAUGCCGCGUGCAGGAUGACGGUCCUAUGGAUUGUAAACUGCUUUUAUACGAGAAGAAACACUGAUUCGUGAAUCAG
rnacentral:rRNA from 1 species